UACAGAGGUCUCAAGCGUUGUUCGGAUUCAUUGGGCGUAAAGGGUGCGUAGGCGGCGCGGUAAGUCGGGUGUGAAAUCUCGGAGCUUAACUCCGAAACUGCAUUCGAUACUGCCGUGCUUGAGGACUGGAGAGGAGACUGGAAUUUACGGUGUAGCGGUGAAAUGCGUAGAUAUCGUAAGGAAGACCAGUGGCGAAGGCGGGUCUCUGGACAGUUCCUGACGCUGAGGCACGAAAGCCGGGGGAGCAAACAGG
rnacentral:rRNA from 1 species